AGCAAGAAGGUUCCUGCAGGACACAUGGUGAGACAAGACUACAGUGGUGUGACCUGGCCUCUAAGCUGUGGAGGGAGGCAGAAAGACUGCGCCACAGCAGAGAUGCAUGGAGGAAAAACUAUUAUGAAGGAGAUACUUAGAUGAUCCCAGCAGGUUGCAGUCUGUCAUCAGUGAAGAACAAGAAGAGUGCAGCUGUGGGGUCAUACCCAACAUGUAGAAGAAGGUACAGAGCUGAGAUGAAAGGAAGCAGAGCACAAGAUCUGCCUCAAAUGAGUUUGGAAGAUGCAGUUUUGAAGGAUUUAAGAAGCCUGAAUUCUGCCAUACUGACUCUUGCUGAAGGAAGACGACUUGUAAGGGUGGAGAUGGUGGUUGAAGGACUGUUCCUGCCAGAACCCAUAUUAGGAUUGGAAUGAUUUCUGAUAUAGUUGAAGAGGAUACCACAAUUUGUUACUCACCUGCUGCACAAGCGGCUAAGAACUUUUCACUCUUGGAAAGCUGUUUUGCUAUAAGAUGUGUGCAAUUUCUGUAUUGCUAACAAAAGAAAAACAGUGUCAUUGAAAAUGGCUUUAAAAAAAAAAUUAGCUACUAGCACAAACUUAAGCCUAGACCA